rnacentral:misc_RNA from 1 species
GAAAUUAAUUGUUUUUAUUGAUUACAAAUAGAUGACAAAUGCCAACUUGCAAUUCCUAUUAGUUUACUGGUUGUCUUUUAUGUUGACAAAUGCAUAUCUCCCUUUUGAUCUAAAGUCAUUCAAAUUUGUUGAGAGAUAAAUGAAAUUAGGCACAUUGACAGUAAACUUCAUUCUAAUUUCCCUUUUGAGCUGUAAAUAAUAUUGAAAUCUUGGUUUA